rnacentral:rRNA from 1 species
UACGAAGGGGGCUAGCGUUGUUCGGAAUUACUGGGCGUAAAGCGCACGUAGGCGGGUCGAUUAGGCAGGGGUGAAAGCCCAGAGCUCAACUCUGGAGCUGCCUUUGAUACUGUCGAUCUGGAGCAGAGUAGAGGUGAGUGGAAUUCCGAGUGUAGAGGUGAAAUUCGUAGAUAUUCGGAGGAACACCAGUGGCGAAGGCGGCUCACUGGACUCUUGCUGACGCUGAGGUGCGAAAGCGUGGGGAGCAAACAGG